CAUACACUAAACCUAACCCUAACCCUAAUCCGUACCCUAACCCUAACCCUAACCCUAACCAGGACCCUAAAGCUAACUCUUACCCGUACCAUAAACCGUACCCUAACCCUAACUCUAACCCUUAAGCUAAACCUAACCCUCACCCUAACCAGUACCGUAACCCGUAGCCUAACCCUAACCCUAAAGCGUAACGUAACCCUAACCAUAAACAUAACCCGUAACCUAACCCUAACCCUACACCUAACCCUAACCCUUACCUUAACCCUAACCCUAACCCUAAACCGUACCCCAACCCGUACCCUCACCCUAACCCUAAAACGUACCCUGACCCUAACACUAACCCUACUGCUAACCCGUACCCUCACCCUUACCCGAAGCCAUACCCUAACCCUAUCCCUUACUCUAACCCUAACCAGUACCAUAACCCUAACCAUAACGAGUUCCCUAACCCUAACCAUAAACUUAAACCUAACCCGUACCCUAACCCUAACGCCAACCCUAAACCUAAUCCUAACCCUAACCUUAAACGUAAGCCGUACCCUAAACCUAACCAUAACCCUAAGCCGAACCCUAACCCUAACCCCUACCCUAACUCUAACCAUAACCCUAAGCCUAACCAGGACCCUAACCCUCACCCUAACACUGACCCGGACCCUAACCUGGACCCUAAUGCGUACCCUUACCCUAUCCCUAAACCAAAACAGUACCCUAACCCUAACCCUAAACCGUACACUAACACUAACCCUGACCCUACCCCAAUCCUAAACCGUACACUUACCCUAACCCUAACCCUAACCCGUACCCUAAACCUAAACCUAAACCGUACUCUAAACCUAACCCUAACCCUCACCCUAUUGCUAACCCGUACCCUAACCCUAUUCCUAACACUAACCCUGACCCGUAUCCUAACCCGGACCCUAACCAUAACCCUAACCCGUACCCUAAUGCUAAACCUAACCCUCACUCUAACGCUAACCUUAACCCUAAACCAUACCCUAAACCUAAACCUAAACUGAACACUAACCCCUACCCUAACCCUCACCCUAACACUAACCAGUACCCUAAACCUAA
rnacentral:lncRNA from 1 species